rnacentral:rRNA from 1 species
ACGGCCGUACCAUGCUGAAUAUAUCGGUUCUCGUUAGAUCACCGAAGUCAAGCAUCAUUGGGCGCGGUCAGUACUUGGGUGGGUGACCACCUGGGAACACCGCGUGCCGUU